CCUACGGGGGACUGCAGUGAGGAAUAUUGGUCAAUGGGCGCUAGCCUGAACCAGCCAAGUAGCGUGAAGGAUGACUGCCCUAUGGGUUGUAAACUUCUUUUAUAUGGGAAUAAAGUGCAGUAGGUAUACAGCUUUGCAUGUACCUUAUGAAUAAGGAUCGGCUAACUCCGUGCCAGCAGCCGCGGUAAUACGGAGGAUCCGAGCGUUAUCCGGAUUUAGUGGGGUUAAAGGGAGCGUAGGCGGGUUGUUACGUCAGUGGUGAAAGUUUGCGGCUCUACCGUAAAAUUGCAGUUGAUACUGGCAUCCUUGCGUACAGUAGAGGUAGGCGGAUUUCGUGGUGUCGCGGUGCAAUGCUUCGAUAUCACG
rnacentral:rRNA from 1 species